GGCUCCUUAGCUCAGUGGUUAGAGCAGUCGACUCAUAAUCGAUUGGUCCCCAGUUCAAGUCUGGGAGGAGCCA
rnacentral:tRNA from 1 species